CGCUGGCGGCAGGCUUAACACAUGCAAGUCGAACGAGAAGCGCGCCUUCGGGUGCGUGGAAAGUGGCAGACGGGUGAGUAACGCGUGGGAACGUACCCUUUGGUUCGGAACAACUCCGGGAAACUGGAGCUAAUACCGGAUGUGCCCUUCGGGGGAAAGAUUUAUCGCCAAGGGAUCGGCCCGCGUCGGAUUAGCUUGUUGGUGGGGUAACGGCCUACCAAGGCUAUGAUCCGUAGCUGGUCUGAGAGGAUAAUCAGCCACACUGGGACUGAGACACGGCCCAGACUCCUACGGGAGGCAGCAGUGGGGAAUAUUGGACAAUGGGCGCAAGCCUGAUCCAGCCAUGCCGCGUGAGUGAUGAAGGCCCUAGGGUUGUAAAGCUCUUUCGCCAGGGACGAUAAUGACGGUACCUGGAUAAGAAGCCCCGGCUAACUUCGUGCCAGCAGCCGCGGUAAUACGAAGGGGGCUAGCGUUGUUCGGAAUUACUGGGCGUAAAGCGCAUGUAGGCGGAUCGUUAAGUCGGGGGUGAAAGCCCGAGGCUCAACCUCGGAACUGCCUUCGAUACUGGGCGAUCUCGA
rnacentral:rRNA from 1 species